GUCAAUGGAUAGAGCUUGAAGUAAGCUACAAAACUUCUUGCUACUAACUUUCCCAGCCGCCCAGAGCCUUUCAAAAUUUUUUGUUUUUUCGAGGUUUUUAACUUGUUGCGGCGACUGGGUGGGCCGAACAUCGGCGUUUGUUGGUCAAUAAUAUUCAGCUCAUUGACCUUCAUAAACGUGCACAAUUUGACAUUAUUCACAUCUUGCAUUUUGGAGUAAUUG